AAUGGGUCAACGACUUGGUCUAUCUAGCAAGCUUAAGCCGUUAGGUGUAGGCGCAGCGAAAGCGAGUCUUAAAUGGGCGACUUAGUUAGAUGGAUCAGACCCGAAACCAGAUGAUCUAGGCAUGAGCAGGAUGAAGGUUGGGUAACACCAACUGGAGGUCCGAACCCACACCUGUUGAAAAAGGUCGGGAUGACUUGUGCCUAGGGGUGAAAGGCCAAUCAAAUCUGGAGAUAGCUGGUUCUCCGCGAAAGCUAUUUAGGUAGCGCCUCGGACGUAUCCUCCUGGGGGUAGAGCACUACAUGGAUGAUGGGGGCCCACAGCCUUACUGAGUCUAAGUAAACUCCGAAUACCAGGAAGGACUAUCCGGGAGACACACGGCGGGUGCUAACGUCCGUCGUGGAGAGGGAAACAACCCUGACCAACAGCUAAGGCCCCCAAUUCGUGGCUAAGUGGGAAAGCAUGUGAGACUUCCAAAAACAACCAGGAGGUUGGCUUAGAAGCAGCCAUCCUUAAAGAUAGCGUAACAGCUCACUGGU
rnacentral:rRNA from 1 species